GCGAACGGACGAGAAGCUUGCUUCUCUGAUGUUAGCGGCGGACGGGUGAGUAACACGUGGAUAACCUACCUAUAAGACUGGGAUAACUUCGGGAAACCGGAGCUAAUACCGGAUAAUAUUUUGAACCGCAUGGUUCAAAAGUGAAAGACGGUCUUGCUGUCACUUAUAGAUGGAUCCGCGCUGCAUUAGCUAGUUGGUAAGGUAACGGCUUACCAAGGCAACGAUGCAUAGCCGACCUGAGAGGGUGAUCGGCCACACUGGAACUGAGACACGGUCCAGACUCCUACGGGAGGCAGCAGUAGGGAAUCUUCCGCAAUGGGCGAAAGCCUGACGGAGCAACGCCGCGUGAGUGAUGAAGGUCUUCGGAUCGUAAAACUCUGUUAUUAGGGAAGAACAUAUGUGUAAGUAACUGUGCACAUCUUGACGGUACCUAAUCAGAAAGCCACGGCUAACUACGUGCCAGCAGCCGCGGUAAUACGUAGGUGGCAAGCGUUAUCCGGAAUUAUUGGGCGUAAAGCGCGCGUAGGCGGUUUUUUAAGUCUGAUGUGAAAGCCCACGGCUCAACCGUGGAGGGUCAUUGGAAACUGGAAAACUUGAGUGCAGAAGAGGAAAGUGGAAUUCCAUGUGUAGCGGUGAAAUGCGCAGAGAUAUGGAGGAACACCAGUGGCGAAGGCGACUU
rnacentral:rRNA from 1 species